CUGCGGCUCCGCCCGGUCUCGUGUCCGCGGGCCGGAGGAAGGGGACAGGGUCCCGUGGUGGCCCCCCCAUGCAUGGGCUCCCCACGCACUGGCUUCCGGUUCACGGGGCGAGCACUUCCGGGGCAGGGACGGGUGCCGGGGAAGACCAGCCCAGGAGAAAAGCGUUUGGGGCCCCAGAGGAGUCGGCAUGGGGAAGAAGAGGAGCUCGGGGCUUGGCCGGGCCCUCAUGAAGGAAAGGAGCCAGGCCCGGCGGGGCGGCAGGCAGCCCGACUCCUGGUUACAUACAAGUGAGUUAAAUGACGGGUAUGACUGGGGCCGUCUCAACCUUCAGUCGGUGACAGAACAAAGCUCGCUUGAGGAAUUCCUUGCCACAGCCGAGCUUGCAGGAACCGAAUUUGCGGCUGAGAAACUGAAUAUCAAGUUUGUUCCUGCUGAGGCGAGGACUGGCCUGCUGACAGCAGAAGAGACAAAAAAUAUCAAGAAACUCCAUGAGGAAAACAGACAGUUUUUGUGUAUACCAAGAAGACCAUACUGGGAUAGGAGAACCAGUGCUGAGAAGUUAAAGCAAGCAGAGAGAGAGAGCUUUCUGGAGUGGAGACGACAGCUUGUUCGGCUAGAGGAAGAACAGAAACUGAUUUUGACCCCAUUUGAACGGAAUUUAGACUUUUGGCGCCAGCUCUGGAGAGUCAUCGAAAGAAGUGACAUUGUGGUUCAGAUAGUAGAUGCCAGAAAUCCUCUCCUGUUUAGAUGCCAAGAUCUGGAAUGUUACGUGAAGGAAAUGAGCAGCGACAAAGAGAACAUCAUUCUGCUAAACAAGGCGGAUUUGCUGAGCAAAGAGCAGCGCGCAGCUUGGGCGCAGUUCUUUGAGAGAGAAGGUGUUAAAGUUGUGUUCUGGUCAGCCUUGGCAGAAGGCAUGCGGCUGAGUGCUGAACUUAAGGGACUAGGGUCUGAGGAGGCAAGCGACUCUGAAGAUGGCGGGUCCAGUGAGGAGGAGCACAGUGCCCUGCAGAGCAGUGCAGAAAGCGCACUCGGGGGUAACGCUCUGCAUCUUGAAAGCAGAGUCCUGGGCAGUGAUGCUGAUGACAGUGAUGAAUACGAGGACUGUGAAGAGGAGGAGGAUGCCUGGCAGACCUGUUCUGAAGAUGAUGGUGAGGAAGAAGUAAAUUCCAGUAACCCAAGCUGUAUGGAAAGCAGGACUGACAGGGCUUUCGGGCAAAGCCCAAGGCCACUGCAGAGCAGGCACAUCAGUAACUUCAGCCACCUGGUACAGAAAAACGAACUGCUGGAGAUAUUCAGAACGAUACAUACUGGGAAGAAGGUGAAGGAGGGAGAGGUCACGGUAGGGCUGGUGGGUUACCCUAAUGUUGGUAAGAGCUCAACAAUCAACACGAUCCUUGGAAACAAGAAAGUGUCCGUGUCUGCCACGCCAGGUCACACAAAGCACUUUCAGACUCUGUAUGUGGAGCCUGGCCUAUGUCUCUGCGAUUGUCCCGGUCUGGUGAUGCCAUCCUUCGUCUCUACAAAGGCAGAGAUGACCUGCUGUGGAAUUUUGCCUAUAGACCAGAUGAGGGACCAUGUUCCACCUAUCUCUCUAAUUUGCCAGCAUAUCCCACGACAUGUGUUAGAAGCAACCUAUGGAAUAAAUAUCAUAAGACCCAGAGAAGAUGAGGAGCCAGAUCGCCAACCAACAUCUGAAGAGCUGCUAACAGCAUAUGGAUAUAUGAGAGGAUUUAUGACAGCUCAUGGGCAGCCAGACCAGCCAAGAUCAGCUCGUUAUGUGUUGAAAGAUUACGUCAGUGGUAAGCUGUUGUUUUGCCAUCCUCCUCCUGGCAUUGACCCAAACGACUUCCAACACCAGCACGAAAGAUAUACACAGCACAGAGCUGUGCACGGCAAUGCAGAAAAGUCCGAAAGGAAUCAGAACACAAAACAAAUUGAAAAUGUGGUGGACAAAACAUUUUUCCACCAGGAGAAUGUCCGUGCUCUGACGAAAGGUGUUCAGACUGUGAUGGGAUAUAAACCUGGCUGUGGGCCUGUGCCUUUGGCUGCAUCCAGCUCCGAGAACGUCAGAGGAAAGCCCUGGAAAAAACAUGGGAAUAAAAACAAAAAGGAGAAGGUUCGCAGAAUCACCAAGCACCUAGAUGCAUAGCUGAGGCAUUAGCCACAUGUGCUUGCUGCCAGGCUGGAGACCGCAAUAUGUCCUACAUAUUAUGCGCGCACACUGAAGCAGAAAGGAUAAACCAGCAUCAGUGUUUCACACUGAAAAUCUGACUGUGUGACAGACUGCCUGGGGCAGGUGUGUGAGGUCAGACUCUGCCACACGGUGUUUCUUCCUUCGGAGAAAGAAACAAAGCUCCCUGCUAACCAUCAAAGAACUUGCCAUUGGUCUCUCCUGGAAGCAGUUACAGAAAUAUUCAAUCUUCAAGAAUCCAGUGUGACUUCAGUGGCAGGACAAGCUCAACAAAUACUGCCAAAGUUGAGAAAAAUCCAAACUCCACAGAAUAGCAUGUGGUCCCGUCUGCCCCCAGGCACUCUGUGAUGGUCAGAAACAAAAAAGAAUCUACUCCCCUCGCUCCAUGACCCAAGUUUCUACAGUUUGGCUUCCUUUUGUCCAUGUUUGGUUGGAUGCGAGCUGAAAGGCAGCACCUAAGCUACCUUCCUGUCCGGGAAAUGGGCACCAUGUAAAAGGCUGCAGUGUCCGUACUGUAGCAGAGCUGUGCAAAUCUACAGACCAAAGGCUGGAUGAUGGUGAUUUGCUCUCUUGAAACUCCUCUGGGUGGAGCUUCCAAGCAUUGCUUAUGGCUUGCCAUUAGCACUUUGCCUCGGGAAGUGUUGGCGCCAGGGCUGAUUUCACCCAGGGACACUGUGCUAAUGGUAUCCUACUUGCUGCAGAAUUACCUAUCACCUUUUCCCUGCUGGGGUUUCCAUUGCAGCUGCAGUGCUGGCCUCAGUUCCCUUUCUCCGUUCAGCUCUUCUGAGCAGCAGGUUGUCCCUUCAGUAUCCCAUGGCACGGCAGGUGUUUUCCACCUCCACUAACCUGGGCUGUUCUACAACAGUCAAGUUCUUAAUUAAAUCUCUUUCCAUUAUUAAUAGUCUUAUAUUAUUUCUGUCAUCGCCCCCCUCCAGUGACACUCAUCUACAGCAAAGAUGAUCCUCAACUCCCUAGUUCAAGGAGGCCGAAGAACAAACUGCUCAGGGCCCUGUAUGUUCAGCCUCUCUCAAAUAUAAAACCCACAGUGUAAUCGGUAUUCUAAGAUAGCAUCCCCUAGAGAAAGAUGGGCACACGGCAGAGCCUUCUGUGGCUUGGGUCCCUGAGGGAAGUUGACAGCAGCUAAAAAUAGGUUUUUGCCUUGAAGGUUUCAUCGCCGAAAACCUAAGCUCCAGGAUGAAGCGGCCCUUUUGAAGUGCAGGGGAGAACUCCACGUCAGAGGUGUAGGAAGAGGCGAUACUGGAGGUGCAGAUGUGAGGGCAGCAGCACAGAGUAGCUGUGCUCCACAGCUUUAGGUAUGCCAACGACUGCGCCGUGGGAUGCUCAGCGACAGAUGAUCCCACUCAGGCAGACAGGGGAGGGAUCUGAAGGGAAUCUACAAAGAAGACAAACAUCUUGGUUGAAGUGCUCUGGGUCACGGUGUUACGAAGCUAUUUUUGACUACUGUAGAAGGUAAGAGAAAUGUGGUUUUCGUGCACCACAUCAAUCUAGGGGCUAAUCACAUGCUCUGAAGAGGGGAAAAGAGCAGACAGUGAUUUGCCUGCUAAUGAGUACAAAUCCAGUCCCCAUUGUAAACAAACGGUCACGAAAAUGUCACAGGCCCUUGACAGUGGAAUGCUGUUUUGGCUUCAGCCCACCUCCUUCCCUGUAAGUGACUUCUUUCUUUUUGUUAUGGGGAAACUACCUUACAGUGCUGGCAACCUGAACCCAAGUGAACGUGCUACUGGAUGCACUACAAGAUGCACAGUGAAUUUCAGACGGACAGACCAGCAGGGAGGACUGUGUUGUGUGUGUCCUUUUUAGCUAAGGAAGCAGGGUUAAAGUAACACUGCGCUGAUGAGCUGGCUCCGCGGCUGCUGAGAGCUGCAAAGAUUUGAGUGUCUGACAGGUGCACUCCUGCAGCUGCUGCCUACCUUUGAUCCUAAGCAGGACCAUUCUUCUGCUGAACACAAGAGAAGCUGUAAAAUGCUACAACUCAUUUCACAGCCACUGUGUGGCAAUUGCACCAGGACGUGCCUUCAUGCUUGGCUUUUGUGGGAGAACACGCUGCUUAUUUUAAGAUGCUCCUUACUAAUGAAGAGAUGAAAGCUGAACAAAGGGCACAUUCUCUGCAGUGAUUUGCCUGUGUCAGGCCCCAGGAGGGGAGGCACUCCUGCUUUUUUGGAACAAAAUAAUAACUUCACUGUGUGAGUGUUUCAUUCAUUCGCCAAGGUUAUUUGCUGAAUAAUUUCUACAAAUAAACUUUGCUUUGUAGACUCUUCAUGAGCAGUUCUGCACCUGUAUUCAAUACAUGAAAUUCAGGCUGUGCCAACUAGAUGCACAGGUCACGUGCUUUUGUUCCAGCUCCUUGAUUUGAAGAGUGUAACUCCUGGAAACAGAUUUCUGCAGCAGCUACUCACUUUGACGCAUUCUAGCUUCACGUCCACAAACGUACAUGUGGGUAGUUCACAGCGAUCUGGGAGUUCUAUAACACUCCCCUCAGAUUGUCACCAAGAGGGAGGGGUUGAUUCUGAAGCCUGUUGUGUCAGACAUCUCCAGUUAUUCUGGGACUGUGGGUGGAGUAGGGGAGGGUUAAAUCUGGCAUUUCUCCGACAGGAACACUUGUUUUUGUCUCAAAUUGUGACCAAGUGCACAUUGCAAAGAGUCUAGUGGAAAAGAAGUGUCAAAAUUUGACUUGAAACAUUUUGUUUCAACAUUUCUGGGCAAAACGUUUUGACAUUCCCCAGCUCAAAGUGUUUUGGUUUUGUGAACUGACUCGCAAUGCAGUGUUUUGAGUCAGUUCAAUAAUAAACCCCACUUUUCCCAACAGUGGUGCAUUGCGUCAUGAGAGUUAUAGGUUAGGAACCUGAUGGUACUGUUUUCCCUUGGGGCCAGGCUAUGUGGUUAAACUACAUCUCCCAUAAUGUACCCCAAGACAUGUAACUCCCACGGUGCUCUGUGCAGCUCAGUCAGAAGGAAAUCCACAUUGCUGUAUGGGAGUUGUAGUCCUCCAGCCAAUAGAAGAGACUGGAAGUCUGAACUACAAUCCCAGGAGGCAAGAUGUUGAUAGGGAAAUUCUUAUUUAUUUAUUUAAACUGAUUCAAAACUAAAUGUUUCAAGUCAGUAAAAAAAUAAAAUAUUUUGAUUUAGGUUGAACUGACCUGAAAUAAAAUGUCUUGAUUUUCCUAAUGGAAAAAUGAAAACUUUUAGCAAAAUCAAAAUUCUCCUGCAGAAAAAUUUGAUUUUGUGGAAAUUGCAUUUUCUGCCAGAAAAUCAUUGUGAUAGAACAUUCCAGGAUGACUCUGGAGCAGAGUCUGAACUGAGUUCUGCAUCCCCCAGUCCGGACCCCUGCCUGUAUGUGUGUUUUGAAAGCUUCAGUUGCAAUUGCAGAUGGCUUCUGAGGGAGAAGGGCCUGAACUGUCAGUUAAGGAGGUGGAAAAGCAGGAAGUGAGGGCAUUAAUGCUGCCAGGGAUUGGGUAUUGACAGCUGUCAGGACAAGCUCCAGUUCCUAUGUAUAAAAGCACCAGGUGUGAGAGGCUCGUCUGUGUGUUGCUAGGUGGAAAUUUCACACAAACCAGCAAAACAAAGCCUGGCAGGAAUCCGUAAUAAGCAGCAGUAUUUCUUUGCUCAAGGCACAAUGUCCACCUAGCAAUGGGACCCACCCUGUCCUCACCUUUUCCUUCCAUAUGCUAGAUACGGCUACAAGCUUUUAUUGCUCUUUCAUUCUAGCGCUGGAAAAACCUGGUAAAUAGCAAUAAAAUUAAUAUUGUACACUGCUCUAGUGCCUUCUAGGCUGAAGGAUCUCAAAGCAUUUUACAAAUCCUGCGGUACUUGCUCCCAUUGAAGUAAAGGAGUGAGGACUUUAAAAUUUGGCCCUGUAUGUGCCCAGCUACUUGCCUGGGGGAGGCUAUCAGCCAGCAUGCCCCCUGCACAACUGUGGGGUAGAGAGCAAACUGGCCACUCAUCUAAAUGGACUGGUCUACCCCAAAAUAGCUGGAAGUGACAGGUGUUUGUACUGUGCUCAUCUGUCCUCUGAGUGGCUCUGGCCUAUCUGUAAUCAAAGGGGGAAGGAUAGGAUUUCUGGCCAACAUGGCUCCACGGUACAGUGAACAGGGCACAGGAGUGAGAGGCAGGAGACCUGGCCUCUAUUCCUGGCUCUGCCACUGACUCAGUGUGUGACACCGGCCAAGUCCCUUCAUACCUCUGUGCCUCUGUUUCUCCACCUGGAAAACAGGGAUAAGGCGGCUCGCUAACUUCUCUCUAGUGCACUCAGAUCUGCACACAAAAGUAUUAUUUCUGUGUGCUGGCCAUCCACCGAUGGCUUGGCUUCAGUGCUGUGCCCUGUUUCUCUGCCCUUUGUCUCAGAAGCUCUUCAGAGCGGGCGCUUCACGUUUUCUUGUGUUCGGACAGCACCUGACACAAGGUGCUGCUUCUACAAACUAAAUAAAUUCAGCCCUGUACUGUU